CAGUCGCCGCGGUAAUACAGAGGAUGCAAGCGUUAUCCGGAAUGAUUGGGCGUAAAGCGUCUGUAGGUGGCUUUUCAAGUCCGCUGUCAAAUCCCAGGGCUCAACCCUGGACAGGCGGUGGAAACUACCAAGCUGGAGUACGUUAGGGGCAGAGGGAAUUUCCGGUGGAGCGGUGAAAUGCGUUGAGAUCGGAGAGAACACCAACGGCGAAAGCACUCUGCUGGGCCGACACUGACACUGAGAGACGAAAGCUAGGGGAGCAAAUGGGAUUAGAUACCCCAGUAGUCCCUGUCUCUUAUAA
rnacentral:rRNA from 1 species